rnacentral:misc_RNA from 1 species
AAAGUAUCAUAAGAUGGCGGCUUUUCUGGGUCUCGGAAAGACAAUGGUGUGAUAAUGCUAAAGCUGCUACAAAACAGGCGAUUGGCGCCGUGAUCGAAGCAAUAUGUGAGGAAUUCUUAUUUAAAAUGUGUUAAUUUCAUUUGGAAUUUUAUUCUUAGCGCAAGUUAAUGGCUUUAUUUGGGGUAUUUUUGACUUUCUUAACACUUGAUGGAUUAAUGUACCCCAAAGUUUCCAAAACACCUCCCGUGUUGGUGUUUGUAUUGAAUGGACACCACGUUAAGAUAAGAGCAUCUGCUGAUGCCUAGUGCAUUUUUGUCACUUUCAUCUUCGAUGGCAUCGCGAAAAACCAAUGUUUACAAUACGAAAGGUAGCAAUGAGAAGUAUUGGACAGCUAUUUUUGAUUAUGAAGCAAAAAGGGAGGAUGAGUUGACAUUACGGAAAGGUUGCCAAGUUGAGGUCCUGUCCUAUGACUCCCACAUCUCUGGAGAUGAGGGGUGGUGGACAGGGCGGGUUGGCAACAGUGUUGGGAUAUUCCCCAGUAACUUUGUCACCAAUAACCUAAACUUCAGCUUUCCGGAGGAGAAAGUUAUCCCUGACAGACCAUUUGAAAUUGAUUUCAAUGAGUUACAGCUUGAGGAAGUCAUUGGAAUCGGAGGUUUCGGAAAAGUGUAUCGGGGUUUGUGGAAAGGAGAAGAGGUGGCUGUGAAGGCAGCCAGACAUGACCCCGAUGAACCUGUUAGUGCAACAAUUGAAAGUGUUAGACAAGAGGCAAAGGUGUUUUGGCUCUUAAAUCAUUCAAAUAUUGCUUCUUUGAAAGGAGUGUGUUUAAAAGAACCUAAUUUAUGUCUUGUGAUAGAAUAUGCUGCUGGUGGAUCGUUAAAUCGUGUUUUAUGUGGUCGGAGAAUUCCUCCAGAAAUUUUGGUGCAAUGGGCCAUUCAAAUUGCAAGGGGUAUGCACUACCUUCAUGAAGAAUCUCCAAUACCUUUGGUGCAUCGUGAUCUGAAGUCAAGCAAUAUCUUAUUAAAGGAAAAGAUAGAAAAUGAUAACCUCCAAAACAAAACCCUUAAGAUCACUGAUUUUGGUUUGGCAAGGGAGGUUUCCAAGACAACCAGGAUGAGUGCGGCUGGGACGUACGCGUGGAUGGCCCCUGAAGUAAUCAAAACCUCCACCUACUCCAAGAAUAGUGAUGUCUGGAGCUAUGGUGUUGUCCUGUGGGAGCUGUUGACAGGAGAAACGCCGUACAAGGGGAUCGAUGCCCUGGGGGUGGCGUACGGAGUGGCCGUCAACAAACUGACCCUCCCCAUACCCUCCACCUGUCCAAACCUCUUCGCACAACUCAUGUCUGGUAAGAGUUUAAAUUUGUUUCCAUAUGCAUUCAAUUCUUCUUACACCAUGUACAUACACUUACCCAGGCCCUGAAAAAUUAUCAUUAUGCAAUGGAAUGGUGGCCCGGGGAACCAAACUAUUAUUAACUCACUGAAUUAAGUUACUAUUGUAAUAUUUACACUCUAAAUGUUGGUGUCAAUGUUUCCAGAAUUUACCCAGUGAUUACCAAGUACUAAUCAGUGUUGUUCAUUGAUAUAACUUAAUUAGAUUGGAUUUAUAAAUCUAAGCAUUGUUGAUUUGUAUUUAAUCACAGUAAAAAAUAUUGUUAAAAGAAUGUGUUUAUUGACAGCUAGCUAUGUAGAUUUGACAUCAGUAUAGAUUUGAUCAAGCAAUUUUUGGAAAUACAAUCAAGAUACAAGACAACAUUUUCUCUGAAUGGUGACUUUUUCAGAUUGCUGGCAUCAAGAGUCUCAUCAGAGGCCUACUUUCGCGGAAAUCCUUCGUCGGCUGGAUGAAAUAUCCACCUCGCCCUUUAUGACGACCCCUCAGGAAAGCUUCCACACCAUGCAAGAGGACUGGAGGCAGGAAAUUGAGGAGAUGUUCAACGAACUUAGGAGCAAGGAAAAGGUAACUCUUCCACUGUUCAGGGGAGAUAAAUAUUAUUGGAUUGAAUCCCACAGGAUUCUAAACUAUAGAAAAUGACUACCGGUAUUUGAAUCACACAGCAUGAAGUAUUUGUGUAUCUAGUACAUUGCAUUGUAUGUAUAGGUAUGUUGAAACUAUUAUUCAAACAUGCAUAUUUAUUGAGUGUGGAAGUUAC